rnacentral:rRNA from 1 species
CCUACGGGUGGCAGCAGUGAGGAAUAUUGGUCAAUGGACGAGAGUCUGAACCAGCCAAGUAGCGUGAAGGAUGACUGCCCUAUGGGUUGUAAACUUCUUUUAUAUGGGAAUAAAAUGUUCCACGUGUGGGAUUUUGUAUGUACCAUAUGAAUAAGGAUCGGCUAACUCCGUUCCAGCAGCCGCGGUAAUACGGAGGAUCCGAGCGUUAUCCGGAUUUAUUGGGUUUAAAGGGAGCGUAGGUGGAUUGUUAAGUCAGUUGUGAAAGUUUGCGGCUCAACCGUAAAAUUGCAGUUGAAACUGGCAGUCUGGAGUACAGUAGAGGUGGGCGGAAUUCGUGGGGUAGCGGUGAAAUGCUUAGAUAUCACGAAGAACUCCGAUUGCGAAGGCAGCUCACUGGACUGCAACUGACACUGAGGCUCGAAAGUGUGGGUAUCAAACAGGAUUAGAUACCCGAGUAGUC